rnacentral:lncRNA from 1 species
GUGGGAGUGAGGGCGGGUUGUUCUGUGUCACCCCCUCCUGCCCUCUUUUCUAGAGCAGUGAUCAAGGGGGUACAUACAUUGCUGGCUGCAGCAAAGAGCCUCCCCCCCUCGCUUCCUGCUAGGCCCCAGAGGUGGCCAUGGGGUAAAUGGUCCCCAGCAGUGUGAGCACCAGGGUUGCAGAUCAGGACCCACUUACCCUGCUCGUGCUGUGACCAGAGGCCUGAAGACCACCCUGGGUUCAGUGUGUGUAACUUCAAAGCAGCGACUUUGCCUUUUAUUGGAAGCCCCACGCAAAUCACAAGCCUCCAAGGCAUUUAUUAAGUGCCCGUGUCUCCUUCGUCUAUGUUGACACCUGACCAAAGAGUUACAUUUAAAAAUUUCACUGACUGACUUAUACCCUGCCCCAUUUCCAAAGCAGAUGACAAUACAACCCCAGGUACAAGUAAGGCCAGGAACAUUUACCCAAGACAAAGGAGGGAAACAAAGGCAGAGAAUUAUGCCCAGCCUCAGCCUUUCAGGAAGGUAAAAAUCUAAGGCUUCAUUCUCUGGAUGUCUUUAAACUUCGCCAAGAUGUAAGGGCUACUUUUAUUUCGUUCUGCAAAACUCCUCCACCCCCAUCAGAAAGGCAGUACCCCCUUGUGGCCAAGCUUUAGUCCCAUUUAGAGGAAUGUUGCAGGGUGGCUGGCCACUGCAGGGGGCCAGGCAGGCAGGGUGUCUGUCACCGGCCAGCGGUCCCUGCCCUUCUGGCCACCGCUGCCAAAAGCUUGGGUAGGUUUGUGUUUCCCAGCUGAGCCUCCACGCUGCCGAUGGCCUUCCAAGUUGUGCCCUGGCCUGGUUUGUGGUGCAUCCUCAUUUCACUAAUGGAAAUGAAGGUAACAGCAGUCUCCUCCCGCCUCCGUCCAGUUGUGGCCUUUCCUAAGAGGACAAACCUGCUGAAGGACACAGAGACCAUGUCACCCACAAGAGGUCCACACCAGAAGAGGAGAGAGCCCCAUUCUGCUAACUCCUUCCGAAAGCCUGGGACCCUGUGCACAGUAGCCUUUGGAAGACAGGCGAGCUGGCUCUACCUGUCUUGCAGAUUCAGAAUCUAGGUCAUUCUGCUCCUCCUCUGGAAGACAAGCCAGAUUUCUCCUAGGGUCUCAGAAGGAGAGAGGGGACGGCAGGAGAAAAUGUUUUAGCGGGACCCACACCCUGCCUGCUGCUGUCAGGAACAUUUCAUUUUGAAGCCAAUAUAAUUUAUGAGAUGCAAAUGGAUUUAGCAUUAAAAAAGAAAAAAGAGAAAGAAAGACUUGGAAAAGGUACAAAGUGCACCUCACACCCUUGUGCUGAGGCUUGUUUGGGGCUCCAUUAAUCAUCUCAGACAAAAGAGAUUUCAUCUGCGGCUAGGCAAUCUGGGAGCCCCCCUGGGGGCCAGCUGAGAGCAGCGGGCACUGACUGCAGGCCUGGCCUCUGAGCGGCUCCGGCCUCCGCUGCCCAGCACUUGUGCUGAGCUCUGGUCUGAGUCACGCACUAGAUGAAAUUACAGAGGUUUCUGCACAUGAUGAAUCAGAAAGCAGGAUCAAGCCAAAUAUUUGGACAAGCCUUGCCCCGCGUGGAGCAGGAGGGAGAUGGAGCCGCCAGCCAGAAGCCUGCCAGCAGCCUUCCCAGAGAUGGCUUCUGACAAAGUGCCGCCGUGGGGCAGGCUACUGCCUAGAAGGGUGUUAGCUCCAUCCAUUAGGGCAGCCUGCAGCUGGAUCUCUCGGCCAGGUCAGCUCUACAAAAGGGGCCUCUGAGCAUCCCAGGGCCCUGAGCCCUGAUUCAGCCUCACCCUUGGAGAAGGGGGGCUUGUGCGAGUGCGGCGUGCAGGGUGGGGGAGGAGAUGGUUUGCUUUGAGUCACCCCAUCCGCCUUCUUUUUUAGGAGUCAUCG